rnacentral:rRNA from 1 species
AGCGAACGCUGGCGGCAGGCUUAACACAUGCAAGUCGAACGCCCCGCAAGGGGAGUGGCAGACGGGUGAGUAACACGUGGGAACGUACCCUUUGGUUCGGAAUAACUUGGGGAAACUCAAGCUAAUACCGGGUAAGCCCUUAUGGGGAAAGGUUUACUGCCGAAGGAUCGGCCCGCGUCUGAUUAGCUAGUUGGUGGGGCAAUGGCUCACCAAGGCGACGAUCAGUAGCUGGUCUGAGAGGAUGAUCAGCCACACUGGGACUGAGACACGGCCCAGACUCCUACGGGAGGCAGCAGUGGGGAAUAUUGGACAAUGGGGGCAACCCUGAUCCAGCCAUGCCGCGUGAGUGAUGAAGGCCUUAGGGUUGUAAAGCUCUUUUACCCGGGACGAUAAUGACUGUACCGGGAGAAUAAGCCCCGGCUAACUUCGUGCCAGCCGCCGCAGUAA